rnacentral:lncRNA from 1 species
AAAGUGGCCAUAUUCAUUAUCUUUGUGCCGAAUGAAAAGAGAAAGAAAAUAAGAAAACCAAGCUAUGUAUUCGGCCCUUGCUCAAGCAAAUUAAGGUAUGUUUCGGUUUCGGUUUUUGAUGAUUUUUAUGUUUUUGAGAUCGUUGUUUCGAAUACUACUCGACCCAUGCUUAAAUUUUUGAAUUUGAUGAUGAUUUUGUGUUUUGCCAUUGUUGAAAGCUUGUAAUUUUGUUGUUUAAUGAUAGAAAAUAAAAUAUAUGAAAUGGAUAUAUAUAUAUAUGUUGAAAUUGAAUUUUUAAUGAUUUUGAGUAAUUAAGGCUAAAUUGUAAAAAUAAUAAAUUGAGGAACUAAAAUAUGAAAUAAAUGACAUGCAUGGAUUUAUAUGAGCUUAGUGCAUAUUCGGCCAAGCUAUUGUGCAAGGAAAGUUUGUUUAUUUUGUAUUUUUUGUGAAAUAGGGACUAAUUUGUGAAAAAUGUGAAAUGUUAGGGGAAAAAGUGUAAUUUUCCCAUUUAUGUGUUUUUGGAUUUAAUUAAAUGAAUAUGUGGUUAAAUUAGUUAAAUUUGAACUUAUUUAGAUCAAGAAUAGAAGAAAACGGAAUUAGAUCGGGGAAAGUCGAAAGUAGUCGACUAUGUUCGUCGAUAUCCGAGGUAAGUCUAUUAGCAAUUUAAAAGUUAAUAAAUCAAUAUUUAUACAUGUAUAUCGAUUGUAUACUUGAUGAGUUGUAAUUAAAUGUUUAUAAUUUGAAGUAUAAGUAUAAAUUUUAUAUAAGUAUUUAAUAGUUUCAAAUAUACAAGUAUAAUCUUGUAUAAGUUCAUGAGUUAAAUUAUAGGUUUAAAUUUUAUAUAAGUAAAGGUGAGAUUCGGAUAGGCAUGUAUAUAUAUGAAAAUCUAUUGUAAUGAAAUUAGGUAAGAAAUUAUACUUGUAUAUGAUAGAUUCAAAAAUAUAUGUAAUAGAAUGAAUAAACCUUGAAUUUAGAUAAAGGUAUGAGUAUGUAUAUAUAUAUUUAUAAUUAUAUACAUAAUGAUCGAAUAUAUAUACAUAUGUAUACAUAUAUAUAUAGUUUUUGAAUUUAGUGGAAGUAUGAAUGUUGUAUAUGUAUGAAUUCUUGGUUUUAAUCCAAGAUAAGUAUGAUAUAUACAUAUAUAUGUACAUUAUGUCCGAAUAUAUGUAUAUAAAUAUAUAUGUAUAAGCUCUUAGAUUUGAUUAAGAUAUGUAACUUAUAUUUGUAUAUGUGAGUUGGUAAUUAUAUAUAUAUUAUAUUUGAAUGAACAGGUAUACAUACACGUAUAUGAUUUUAUAGUGAAUUUAGGUAUGACAAUUAUACAAGGUUACAUGAGGUUCGAUUAUGCUAAUAUACAAGUAUAUAUUCAUGUAAAGUUCUUGAAUAGCAUUGAAAGUAUGAAAUUAUUAGUUGGAUUAUUAAAAGAUGAUCGAAUAUAUGAUAUUAGUAGUAGAUUAAUGCAUUAAGUUAUAUAUAUAUAGGUUUGGAUGUAUAAUUAAAUUAUUGAGCUGGAAUUGAUGUUUGAACUUUAUACAUCUAUGUUAUUUAAAGAUAUAGUUUAUAAAUUAUUGAGCUGAAUUUUAUGUGGAUUCUAUAUACAAAUAUGAGAUACAACUUCUGUGAAUUGAGAUUUUUUUUAAAGCUUAGUACCAAUCAGAUUAAUUGCCGGUGAAAUGUUUCAGACUUUACGUCUAGCAGGCUAAGUGCCGAUGAACUGAAUCAGGCUAUAAGCCUAGCGGGCUAAGUACCGGUGAACUGAAUCAGGUUAUAAGCCUAGCAGGUGAAGUGCCAGUGAAUCUGUUUAAAUUAAGUGAUUAUAUGCAUUGGGUAUAUAUAUAUAUAUGAUUUUGGUUAUAUGUAAUGGAUAAAUAUAUGAACAUUUGUUUCAAUGUAUUUGAUGAGCAUAUAAACGUUCGGAUCUUUGUGAUUAGUGAGUAUGUACAUAUAUUGGUUGUCAUGAAAUUGUUGGAUAUAUAUAUAUACAUUCGGCCAAAUGUUAAACUUAUGUGUAUUUGGUUAAAUAUGGAUUUGAUGUAUAGUACGUGUUUGAUAAAUGUAUUUUUCGAUUAUGGAAAUGUAUAUGAAUAUUGAAAACAUGAUUUGAUUUUGUUGUAACUAAUUAAAUGUUGUUAAGUUAUCUAUUUGCUUAUGACUUACUAAGCUGUAAUAGCUUACUCUGUGUGUUUUUCUUAUAUUUUUAGAGUUCUAAAGACUUGCUCGGGUUGGAAGACGUUGGAAUCGUGAUCACACUAUCCGGUUAUGGCUUUGGUAAAUUAAAGCUUUGAGUUUUUGGUUAUGUGGCAUGUAUAGGCUAGUUUUAAUUUAGUUUUUGUAUAUAUAUUUAGCCAUGUGAAAAUGGCUUGAUCUAAUGCUAAUGAUCCAAGGUUUAAGUAAUUUUGGUCAUAGUAAAGGCGUGGGGUAUGCUUGGUAUAUGAAUUUGGUAAGACGUAAUGAUAUAUAUAUGUGUGUCUUUGAUAAGUUAUUUGAUAAUUCGGUAUGUAAAGGACUAAUGGUUUUAAUGCUUGAAUUACAAAAUGUGUUAUAUGUCUACAUAGUGGUAUGAUCGAUUAUGGUAAUUGACUUAUUAUUGUAAGUAUGAAAUAUUUGCAUUGGGUGUGUAUAUGAAAUUUUGAUAUGAGUUAUACUGUAUGAAAUUGGCAUAUUUUGAAUGGCUAAAGUACUUGGAAAAUGGCUAAUGUUAGUCAAGUGAAUAAAGUAUGUAUUGGUUUUAUAUGUAUUUUAGGCUUAAUAAUUAGCAUGCGAAUUGAGUGUAAAUUGUAUGGUUAGUUUGCUAGCCAAAUAGAAGAUAAGAUGAAUGGAAAAGCAUACACAUGUUUUGUACUUAAAUGGGAAGUUAGGCAUGUAUGACUUAUUAGUUGAGUUUAAAAAAAAAAAAGUGGUGCAUAGUUGAUAAGGUUAAAUGCAUUAGUGGCUAAGAUGUUUAUAUGCUAAACUUGACUAUUUGGUGAAAUUGAUUAUGUUAUAUUUUCUAAUGGACAAUAAGCCGAGCGAUAUGGAUUGUUUGGUUUUAUGCACAUGAAUAGAAGUAUGAAUUGAUAUAUUUGAUAUUCAGCUUAAGAAGUAAAAUAUGCUUGGAUGUCUUAAUGUAUGUGCAUGGAAUUUAUAAUGUGAUGAGUCAUCUUAUAAUUUGAUUUUGAAUGAUAUAAGUAAGAGGUAUAUAUGUUUCGAAUGAUGGGAUUUUAAAGCAUGUGUAAUAUGACUAUUUUGAGCCGUGUUUUAUAUGGUAAUGCCUUGUAACCUUAUUCCGGCGACGGAUAUAGGUUAUGGGUGUUACAGUAUCGGAUUAGUAGAUUCUCGUAAACGAACAAGUGUCGAGGUAAGUUCGUGUAACUAAAUUGUGUACAUUUAUAUGUUUGAAUUAAAUGGUAUAUAUGUGAAUUGUAUAAUUUCCAUGUAUAUAAAAUUGAUUAAAUACCCGAAAAUGCCUGAUAAAUGUUAAGUUCCGUUUGAACAAAUGAAAAUCGACAAAUACAAGUUUCAUGUAUUGGUUGUAGUCCUGCAUAUGUUGCGGACACAACACAGCUCGAAAGAGCGUCCAUUUAUUAGCCCUCUCGAGCUUCCUGUUAUAUGGUUCUUGCGAGUUUUUCGUUAAUAGCUCUUCGGAGCAUCCCGAUUGGUUGUGAUCCUAUAUGUGUUGUGGACACACCACAACUCUUAUGAGCUUCCUGAUUAUGGCUCUUUGUGAGCUUCCCGUUAAUUGGCUCUUUGUGAGCUUCCCAAUAAGGCUCACUUGGACUUCUCGAUAUUAAGCUAUCCGGUGCUUCCUGUUAAUGGCUCUUCGGAGCUACUCGAUAUUGGAUCGCAUGAGCUUCCUGAAUAUGGCUCUUAUAAGCUUCCCUUUACAUGGCUCACAUGAGCUUCCCGUUAUAUGGCUCGAGAGAGUGUUUCCUGUUUAAGUGUUCUUAUAAACACUCUUGAAUAUGAAUUGACGAAUUACAGAUUCGUACACUUCAUGUGUACUACCCGAUGUCUAUCGAUAUUUCAUAAGGUUCAAUGAGCAAAGUCCUGAUAUAAGUUAAGAUAAGGUCUGAAUGAAUUAAUAAUUGUAUCUACCUGAAAAUACAUGGAAAUGUUUAUACUAUGAGUUCAUCUCUGUUACUUACUUGAAAUGCAUUUGAAAUAUAUGACUAACUUGUUUGAGGAUGUAUAUGUGUUAGGUUAUUGAUUAAUUUGAUUUGGAUGUACUUUGUAUGCUUAUUUUAAAUGAAUAUGAAUGGUAAGUCAUUUUAUCGUUAUACGAACUUACUAAGCAUUAAAUGCUUACUUUGUUUUAUUUUCUCUAUUUUAUAGUACUCGGAAGCUCGUAAAGGUUGGAGCGGGUCGGAGCAAGAUCACACUAUCCUUCAGCUCUUUUUGGUAUAAAUAGUAAACUUUAAUUAGGAUAUAAUGACAUGUAUAGGUUAAAUUGGUUAAUUGUUGGCGUACACAUGUUUUGGUUGUAAAUAGCCAUUGGAAUGGCUUGUAAUGGUCAUGUUUUGAUAUAUAUACAUAUGGUAUUAUCAUGUUUGAAUUAUGAAUAUGAUUAUGUAUAUAUGCAUUUGGUAUCUAGGUAAGUAUAAGUUUUAGAAUAACACAAUAAUAAAUUGUCUAUUGGGAAGCCUAAG